rnacentral:sRNA from 1 species
GGAAGUGUGGGACUGAUGACCUCCCACAACUGGAGCAGCCGGGAACAGCUCUGACCACAGUAAGUCAUCCCAAAACCUCACAUUCAGAUGAAACCAUUUAAGAAUUUCAUCUGCACUGAGGAACAAUUUAGCGUGAUACUGGAGGGAAAGAGUUUCCCUGUGAGAUCCAGGAGGUCCCUUUAGCUCGUCUCCUGACGUCACCACAGUCAUACCCAAGAGGAAGGAAACGUCAGAGACAAUGAUUUGGAGAACAUUCUACACAAAAACCAAGUAUAAAACAAUGACGAUUUCAUGACGGCUCAUUGUUCUUUGGUAUUGUGCCUUACGUGAGCUGGGGACUAACUCUGUAUCCUUAAGGAGGCAUCACUUGAUUAGAGUUGCCCAAAAGAAUGUGGGUUAUUAUCCUAAAGGUCUGUGUUGCCAUCCUGAAACAGUCAGAAAUGAGUUUUUAUUUCACUUAGGUGGUUCCGGGGAGAAGCCUUUCCAGGACCCAUGUGUAGGCACAGCUGUUUUCCCUGAUCAGGAUACUUGCAGCACUCAACAGAGGAAAGAAAUUCCUAAGGGAACACUGCUCAGAAAGUACUGCAGCAUGUCUUCAAAUGCCUGAGGAUCAAGCUGGAAAACUAGAAGCAACAGAAAACACAAUAAGGUAACUGAUUUCACCUGGGGAAAAGUCACUUCCUGUUUUGUUUUUUUUAAAAGAGACAAGGUCUUGCCAUGUUGC